AAGGAAAUUAAGUACGGAAGUUCCUGAUUUCACGCUGUCAAGAAAAGCCUCUAGGAAGAGUAGUACUGCCCGUACCGCAAACCGACACAGGUAGAUGAGGAGAGAAUCCUAAGGUGAGCGAGAGAACUCUCGUUAAGGAACUCGGCAAAAUGACCCCGUAACUUCGGGAGAAGGGGUGCUCUAUUAGGGUGCAAGCCCGAGAGAGCCGCAGUGAAUAGGCCCAGGCGACUGUUUAGCAAAAACACAGGUCUCUGC
rnacentral:rRNA from 1 species